GACGAACGCUGGCGGCGUGCUUAACACAUGCAAGUCGAACGGAAAGGCCCUGCUUUUGUGGGGUGCUCGAGUGGCGAACGGGUGAGUAACACGUGAGUAACCUGCCCUUGACUUUGGGAUAACUUCAGGAAACUGGGGCUAAUACCGGAUAGGAGCUCCUGCUGCAUGGUGGGGGUUGGAAAGUUUCGGCGGUUGGGGAUGGACUCGCGGCUUAUCAGCUUGUUGGUGGGGUAGUGGCUUACCAAGGCUUUGACGGGUAGCCGGCCGGAGAGGGUGACCGGGCACAUUGGGACUGAGAUACGGGCCAGACUCCUCCGGGGGGGAGCAGGGGGGAAUGUUGCAGAAUGGGCGGACGCCUGAUGCAGCAACGCCGCGUGCGGGAUGACGGCCUUCGGGUUUUAAACCGCUUUCGCCUGUGACGAAGCGUGAGUGACGGGAAUGGGUAAAGAAGCACCGGCUAACUACGUG
rnacentral:rRNA from 1 species